rnacentral:rRNA from 1 species
CCAGACAGCUCUGUUGGACUGAUUGCAUCUGGUCCUGGGAGCUAAGCAGGCCUGAGCCUGGCUAGGACUUGGGAAACUGGAUGAGUGACCAGGCUUGUUUUGG